CUGACUGCCACUGCAGAAAGUUCAUUUUCUGGAGAUCCUUCUUUUGUGAAACUUCUCCCUGCAAACCAGGAAUCUUCUGAUUAUGGAGCCCUUUAACGAAGAUGUCUGAAAUUAUGAACUAUUUGAAGUAGCUGGAUAGGACGACUGGAAAACAAACUUGGAGUGAAAGAACAUUAUAGCUAAUGAGGAAACACUGUAUACUUAUCUCAUGCAAGCAAAUGAAAUAAACUUAAAGACUGGAAAAGUACAGAAUUCCCCUAAGGAUGCAGAGAGGAAAAGAAAAGAAAGGGUUGAGGGGAGACGCUUUGGAACACAAUGCAGAGGGAGAUUUUCUAGGAGAAGAGAAUGGCAAGUUUUGAUCACAGGGGGUCGUUGACCUUGACUAGUAACGAAAAAACCUAAUCAUUUUCACCCUAUGGAUGAUCAAACCUUUCUACAUAUCGGACUUCAAAAAUGAUGCCUCCUAUUUAUUUCCAUGGAAACUACAACUGAUAAUAAGAGCUCAAUAAUGUUAUUUGAUAAAGCAAGUUCUCAGCUACACAGCAUUGUUUUUCAACGUAGCCACCAUGAUCAGCAAUACGUUUUCACCAGCCAUGAACAAUAACUCACUGUUUCAUAUCUGCUAUGAAGGUGUCAUUGCUGAAAUUCACCACCUACUACGUCAUUGUGCUCACAGCCACUGUUUAGUCUCCAUAAACAUUCAGUAACCGUUGAUGAAUGUGAAUGGUACCAUUUUUUCUUCAUAGAAGUAUUCAAUUCCUCACCUUUGCUUCAUUCUGUCAGACUACCCCUCUGCUGCUAUCUGUCACGUGGCAACAACAUGUAAUUAAAUAUUGUUAGGAAAUUUCAGUCUCUACUGCCAUAAGAUCAACAUCUGCCUCUGAUGCUGUGGGCCAACCUAAUAAAAUAGGAGGCAUUACUUCCAGAGC